GAGUUUGAUCAUGGCUCAGAUUGAACGCUGGCGGCAUGCCUUACACAUGCAAGUCGAACGGCAGCACGGGAGCUUGCUCCUGGUGGCGAGUGGCGAACGGGUGAGUAAUGCAUCGGAACGUAUCCUGGAGUGGGGGAUAACGUAGCGAAAGUUACGCUAAUACCGCAUAUUCUGUGAGCAGGAAAGCGGGGGACCUUCGGGCCUCGCGCUCUUGGAGCGGCCGAUGUCGGAUUAGCUAGUUGGUGAGGUAAAGGCUCACCAAGGCGACGAUCCGUAGCAGGUCUGAGAGGAUGAUCUGCCACACUGGAACUGAGACACGGUCCAGACUCCUACGGGAGGCAGCAGUGGGGAAUUUUGGACAAUGGGGGCAACCCUGAUCCAGCCAUGCCGCGUGAGUGAAGAAGGCCUCGGUUGUAAGACGUCUUCGUCGAGGAGAAAGUUAG
rnacentral:rRNA from 1 species